rnacentral:rRNA from 1 species
AUUGAACGCUGGCGGCAUGCCUUACACAUGCAAGUCGAACGGUAACGGGCCUUCGGGCGCCGACGAGUGGCGAACGGGUGAGUAAUGCAUCGGAACGUACCUUUCAGUGGGGGAUAACGUAGCGAAAGUUACGCUAAUACCGCAUAUUCUGUGAGCAGGAAAGCAGGGGAUCGCAAGACCUUGCGCUGAUUGAGCGGCCGAUGUCAGAUUAGCUAGUUGGUGAGGUAGAGGCUCACCAAGGCGACGAUCUGUAGCGGGUCUGAGAGGAUGAUCCGCCACACUGGAACUGAGACACGGUCCAGACUCCUACGGGAGGCAGCAGUGGGGAAUUUUGGACAAUGGGGGCAACCCUGAUCCAGCCAUGCCGCGUGAGUGAAGAAGGCCUUCGGGUUGUAAAGCUCUUUCGGCCGGGAAGAAAUCGCACGGGCUAAUACCCUGUGUGGAUGACGGUACCGGAAUAAGAAGCACCGGCUAACUACGUGCCAGCCGCCGCGGUAAGAC